rnacentral:rRNA from 1 species
AUCCUGGCUCAGAUGAACGCUGGCGGCGUGCUUAACACAUGCAAGUCGCGCGUGAAAGGACUUCGGUCCGAGUAAAGCGGCGCACGGGUGAGUAACGCGUGGAUGAUCUACCCAUGAGUUAGGAAUAACGGCUGGAAACGGUCGCUAAUACCAAAUACGCUCCGAUUUCAACUUCGGGGGAAAGGUGGCCUCUGCUUGCAAGCUACUGCUCAUGGAUGAGUCCGCGUCCCAUUAGCUAGUUGGUGGGGUAACGGCCCACCAAGGCGACGAUGGGUAGCCGGUCUGAGAGGAUGACCGGCCACACUGGGACUGGAACACGGCCCAGACUCCUACGGGAGGCAGCAGUGGGGAAUAUUGCGCAAUGGGCGAAAGCCUGACGCAGCGACGCCGCGUGAGGGAUGAAAGGUCCUCGGAUCGUAAACCUCUGUCAGGAGGGAAGAACCGCCACGGUGCUAAUCAGCCGUGGUCUGACGGUACCUCCAAAGGAAGCACCGGCUAACUCCGUGCCAGCAGCAGC